GCCUGGUUAGCUCAAUCGGUAGAGCGUGAGACUCUUAUUCAUACAUCUUGAGUAACUUCCAAUCUCAAGGCUGCGGGUUCGACCCCCGCAUCGGGCU